UGGGGAAUAUUGCACAAUGGGCGCAAGCCUGAUGCAGCCAUGCCGCGUGUGUGAAGAAGGCCUUCGGGUUGUAAAGCACUUUCAGCGAGGAGGAAGGUGGUGAGCUUAAUACGCUCAUCAAUUGACGUUACUCGCAGAAGAAGCACCGGCUAACUCCGUGCCAGCAGCCGCGGUAAUACGGAGGGUGCAAGCGUUAAUCGGAAUUACUGGGCGUAAAGCGCACGCAGGCGGUUUGUUAAGUCAGAUGUGAAAUCCCCGGGCUCAACCUGGGAACUGCAUUUGAAACUGGCAAGCUAGAGUCUCGUAGAGGGGGGCUAGAAUUCCAGGUNUAGCGGUGAAAUGCGUAGAGAUCUGGAGGAAUACCGGUGGCGAAGGCGGCCCCCCUGGACGAAGACUGACGCUCAGGUGCGAAAAGGCGUGGGGCAGCAAAACAGGAUUAGAUACCCC
rnacentral:rRNA from 1 species